UACGGAAGAUGCGAGCGUUAUCCGGAUUUAUUGGGUUUAAAGGGAGUGUAGGCGGGACCUUAAGCCUGCGGUAAAAUGCCGGUGCCCAACAUCGGCCCGCCGUGGGAACUGGGGACCUUGAAUGUGCACAAGGUGGAUGGAAUUCGUGGUGUAGCGGUGAAAUGCUUAGAUAUCACGAAGAACUCCGAUUGCGAGGGCAGUCCACUGGGGCAUGAUUGACGCUGAGGCUCGAAAGUGCGGGAAUCAAACA
rnacentral:rRNA from 1 species